UUUGGAUUUGCUUUAGCAAAUUUAAUUUCUGCGCCAUUGGAAAAUUAAAAUGAGUCGUGUAAGAAAUAUUGUAUAAAUACAUAUAUACAGUAAAUUUCGUGUUUAUGGGGUGAUGAGAAACCCAUGAACAGUGACUCAGAACCAGGUAGAUCCAAAGAAAACUGGGGAAAACAAGUGAGAGCGGCAGAUAACCAAGAAGAGCCACUGAGAACCAGACAGAGCCACUGAGAGUGACUGAGAACCACAAAGCUGCUUAAUUAUCUUUAAAAUAUUUACUUUUUUAGUUUGGAAAGAACCACUGAGAACCGAAGAGCAUUAGUGAAGCUCACUGGGAAAUAGUAAGAGCUAAAAGGAAGUAGGGAAACCCGCUGAGAAUCGGUGAGAACCACUACCAACCAAAGAGAGCCCCUGUAAACCAGUGAGAGCCAUUAGAUUUCAGAAAGCUGCUUAAUUAUCAGUCAAGUCUGACUUUUUUAGUUUGGGAAAAGCCAUUGAAAAAGUGAUAACUCAACACUGAGAACCAGGAUAAGCCAAUAAGAACCAGAUAAUGAACAAGUGAGAAGCAAGAACAACCAGGAAGACUCACUAAAAAUCAGAUAGAGAACCAUUCAAAACAGGAAAAACUCACUGAGAACCAGUGAGAAGCACAAAGCUGCUUAAUUAUUUUUCAGAACAUGACUUUUUAGUUCGCCAACAUCAUUGAAACUUCAACUGAAAAAGAUUAUAUUGUUAAUAUUUUAGUUCCUUUGGAGAUUACUCAUACGCUCUGUGUUCCUUUGAGUCAAAUUAGGUAUGCACAUUUACAUUAGAAUAACAAGCAAAAAAGUUUGAACCUAACGACCGUGAAGUUUAAACAAAUUUAACAACAAAUAUAUAAAAACAUUUUUUAUGCUAAAACAUGUAA